rnacentral:rRNA from 1 species
UCUGCUCAAUGAUUUUUUAAAUUGCUGUGGUAUUUUGACUAUACAAAGGUAUUGAAAUAAGACUUUAAUUGAGUGCUAAGAGAAUGGAAUUACAGGAAAAAUCUUUUUUAAACUUAACAAUUAAAGUUAUUUUUACUUGUGAAGAAACAGUAAUAAAAAUUAAGGACAAGAAGACCCUAAGAAUUUUUAGAAACAUAUUUCAAUAAAGAAGAUAUGUUUCUUUAAUUGGGGCGAUUAAUUAAUAUUAAAAACUUUUUUGAAAAAACAUGAACCGUUUAAUAGCGGUAAAUUGGAAAAAAUACUCUAGGGAUAACAGCGUAAUAAUUUUCGAUAGUUCAUAUUGACAAAAUAGUUUGCGACCUCGAUGUUGGAUUAGGAUAUUUUCUUUCAAUGAAGAAGUAAAUGUCUGCUCGAAUGUCGACGAUCG